ACGUCUGGCAGAUCAGCUUUUUGUUUGUGUUAUGUUCCGACUAAAAUGUAAGACAAACAAAAAGUUUGUCUGUUUGAUG